rnacentral:rRNA from 1 species
GGGUUGUGAGGUUAAGCGACUAAGCGUACACGGUGGAUGCCUAGGCAAUCAGAGGCGAUGAAGGACGUGCUAAUCUGCGAUAAGCGUCGGUAAGGUGAUAUGAACCGUUACAACCGACGAUUUCCGAAUGGGGAAACCCAGUGCAAUUCGUUGCACUAUCGUUUGAUGAAUACAUAGUCAAACGAAGCGAACCGGGGGAACUGAAACAUCUCAGUACCCCGAGGAAAAGAAAUCAACCGAGAUUCCCCUAGUAGCGGCGAGCGAACGGGGAGCAGCCCAGAGUCUUAAUCAGCAUUAGCAUCAGGAGAACGGUCUGGAAAGUCCGGCAGUAAAGGGUGAUAGCCCCGUAUCCGAAGGUGUUAGUGUUGUGAACUCGACGAGUAGGGCGGGACACGUGUUAUCCUGUCUGAAUAUGGGGGGACCAUCCUCCAAGGCUAAAUACUCCUGAUUGACCGAUAGUGAACCAGUACCGUGAGGGAAAGGCGAAAAGAACCCCGGCGAGGGGAGUGAAAUAGAACCUGAAACCGUGUACGUACAAGCAGUGGGAGCCUUGAUUUAUCAGGGUGACUGCGUACCUUUUGUAUAAUGGGUCAGCGACUUAUAUUCUGUAGCAAGGUUAACCGUAUAGGGGAGCCGUAGGGAAACCGAGUCUUAACUGGGCGAAUAAGUUGCAGGGUAUAGACCCGAAACCCGGUGAUCUAGCCAUGGGCAGGUUGAAGGUUGGGUAACACUAACUGGAGGACCGAACCGACUAAUGUUGAAAAAUUAGCGGAUGACUUGUGGCUGGGGGUGAAAGGCCAAUCAAACCGGGAGAUAGCUGGUUCUCCCCGAAAGCUAUUUAGGUAGCGCCUCGUGAACUCAUCUUCGGGGGUAGAGCACUGUUUCGACUAGGGGGUCAUCCCGACUUACCAACUCGAUGCAAACUACGAAUACCGAAGAAUGUUAUCACGGGAGACACACGGCGGGUGCUAACGUUCGUCGUGAAGAGGGAAACAACCCAGACCGCCAGCUAAGGUCCCAAAGUCAUAGUUAAGUGGGAAACGAAGUGGGAAGGCUCAGACAGCCAGGAUGUUGGCUUAGAAGCAGCCAUCAUUUAAAGAAAGCGUAAUAGCUCACUGGUCGAGUCGGCCUGCGCGGAAGAUGUAACGGGGCUAAACUAUGCACCGAAGCUGCGGCAGCGAACGUAUCACUUAAACUGAUUAAGUGAUACUCAGAUGUAUCAAAACGAUUGACGGAGCGAAGCGACGUCAAUGCGUCCAACAAAGUCGAGGCGGAAACGUCAGGCAGUCAGUUUAAGGAUACGUUCGUUGGGUAGGGGAGCGUUCUGUAAGCCUGUGAAGGUGUACUGUGAGGUAUGCUGGAGGUAUCAGAAGUGCGAAUGCUGACAUAAGUAACGAUAAUGCGGGUGAAAAACCCGCACGCCGGAAGACCAAGGGUUCCUGUCCAACGUUAAUCGGGGCAGGGUGAGUCGACCCCUAAGGCGAGGCAGAAAUGCGUAGUCGAUGGGAAACGGGUUAAUAUUCCCGUACUGGUGAUAAUUGCGAUGGGGGGACGGAGAAGGCUAGGCUAUCCGGGCGACGGUUGUCCCGGUUUAAGAAUGUAGGCAGGUGAAUUAGGCAAAUCCGGUUCACUACAUGCUGAGGUUCGAUGACGAGUCACUACGGUGAUGAAGUAGCUCAUGCCCCGCUUCCAGGAAAAGCCUCUAAGCUCUAGAUUAUCAUUAAUCGUACCCCAAACCGACACAGGUGGUCAGGUAGAGAAUACUCAGGCGCUUGAGAGAACUCGGGUGAAGGAACUAGGCAAAAUGGUGCCGUAACUUCGGGAGAAGGCACGCUGGCGCUAGGUGAAGUCCCUCGCGGAUGGAGCUGAAGCCAGUCGCAGAUACCAGCUGGCUGCAACUGUUUAUUAAAAACACAGCACUGUGCAAACACGAAAGUGGACGUAUACGGUGUGACGCCUGCCCGGUGCUGGAAGGUUAAUUGAUGGGGUUAUCCGUAAGGAGAAGCUCUUGAUCGAAGCCCCAGUAAACGGCGGCCGUAACUAUAACGGUCCUAAGGUAGCGAAAUUCCUUGUCGGGUAAGUUCCGACCUGCACGAAUGGCGUAAUGAUGGCCAGGCUGUCUCCACCCGAGACUCAGUGAAAUUGAACUCGCUGUGAAGAUGCAGUGUACCCGCGGCAAGACGGAAAGACCCCGUGAACCUUUACUAUAGCUUGACACUGAACAUUGAGCCUUGAUGUGUAGGAUAGGUGGGAGGCUUCGAAGCGUGGACGCCAGUCUGCGUGGAGCCAACCUUGAAAUACCACCCUUUAAUGUUUGAUGUUCUAACGUUGCCCCAUUAUCUGGGGUGCGGACAGUGUCUGGUGGGUAGUUUGACUGGGGCGGUCUCCUCCCAAAGAGUAACGGAGGAGCACGAAGGUUGGCUAAGCAUGGUCGGACAUCAUGCGGUUAGUGCAAAGGCAUAAGCCAGCUUGACUGCGAGAGUGACGGCUCGAGCAGGUACGAAAGUAGGUCUUAGUGAUCCGGUGGUUCUGAAUGGAAGGGCCAUCGCUCAACGGAUAAAAGGUACUCCGGGGAUAACAGGCUGAUACCGCCCAAGAGUUCAUAUCGACGGCGGUGUUUGGCACCUCGAUGUCGGCUCAUCACAUCCUGGGGCUGAAGUAGGUCCCAAGGGUACGGCUGUUCGCCGUUUAAAGUGGUACGCGAGCUGGGUUUAGAACGUCGUGAGACAGUUCGGUCCCUAUCUGCCGUGGGCGUUGGAAGAUUGAAAGGGGCUGCUCCUAGUACGAGAGGACCGGAGUGGACGCACCACUGGUGUUCGGGUUGUCAUGCCAAUGGCAUUGCCCGGUAGCUAAGUGCGGAAGAGAUAACCGCUGAAAGCAUCUAAGCGGGAAACUUGCCUUGAGAUGAGUCUUCCCUGACCCUUUAAGGGUCCUAAAGGAACGUUUAAGACUAAGACGUUGAUAGGUUGGGUGUGUAAGCAUAGCGAUAUGUUGAGCUAACCAAUACUAAUGAACCGUGAGGCUUAACCUGACAACACCGAAGGUGUUUUAG